rnacentral:rRNA from 1 species
UCAGGCCUAACACAUGCAAGUCGAGGGGUAGAACAUUUCGGUGUUUGAGACCGGCGCACGGGUGCGUAACGCGUAUGCAACCUACCUUUUACAGGGGAAUAGCCCAGAGAAAUUUGGAUCAAUGCCCCAUGGUAUAUUUAGAUGGCAUCAUCUGAUUAUUAAAGUUCCAACGGUAAAAGAUGGGCAUGCGUCCUAUUAGCUAGAUGGUAAGGUAACGGCUUACCAUGGCAACGAUAGGUAGGGGUCCUGAGAGGGAGAUCCCCCACACUGGUACUGAGACACGGACCAGACUCCUACGGGAGGCAGCAGUGAGGAAUAUUGGACAAUGGGCGCAAGCCUGAUCCAGCCAUGCCGCGUGCAGGAAGAAGCAUCUAUGGUGUAAAGGUGCUUUGUACGGGAAGAAACACUCCUACGGUAGGAGCUGAC